UACCUCAAGCUUGGUCCCUUGAGCACACUU
rnacentral:piRNA from 1 species